AACUUCCCGAAAUGAGUAUCAUUACUUGUCUGGCAAAAGUUUUUUUUUUUUUCUUUCUUUAUCUAUUUAUCUAUUUAUUUCAUGGCUGUAUGCCCUUCUCGUAACCAACUGUCCCGAUUUUCUAGAUUUGAGACCGGCACCUGAGGAGUCUCCCUUGACUUCCCUAGUGCCUAAAGAUUCCCAUCCUCUCUGAUUCUCCUCCUUCGCCAGGUACUCCGUCGAGACCAAACAAGGCAAAAUGAAUAUCCUGCAUCAGCUGGCGUGUAGACUAAGUCCAUAUUUUUUGGCAUACUCGCUCUUCGUUCAAGUCAGCGAAUGUGGGAAUAUGAUGGUCAGUUCUGGUAAAUGCUUUGCUAAAAACGGGGUAGCCUUUUAUAAUUCCAGCUCGACCAUUGAAAUGUUCCUCGUAUUGCCUUAAUCUUCAGGGGUUGGCUUACAUGUUAAGGGAAGGAAUGUGUGAGCUGCGCGGGGUGGGCCUUGGCACCCUGAAGAAAUCGCUGCAGUUCUCGCCGAUACUGUUAGAGGAAGUUUCCAGAGGCAAGACACCGCUUUCAAGUCAACCCUAUGGAGCCUAUUACGCCGAAACUAAAGCCAUCGAUGACAGCGACAGCACUCUCUUCAGC